GAAGGUUGGCAGGGACAUUUCUUCCUCCUCAACAGCUGACAAGACAACCAGGAGGCUGGCUAAACCCUGCUUCCCACCACAAGACGGCUGCAGCUGAGAGAUCCUAGGACACAUGACAAAGGCCAGCAGAAGCAAUGCCUCUUAUUCAAUACCUGAUUGCUUGUACAGUCAGCUUAACUUCUACUUGGAAAUACUGCUUUGGAAGAGAAAAUUAAGAAAAAAGCAUCAUUAAAAAAGAGACAAGGUUGGGCUUCCCUGGUGGCGCAGUGGUUGAGAGU